rnacentral:rRNA from 1 species
CAGCCGCCGCGGUAAUACGGAGGGAGCUAGCGUUGUUCGGAAUUACUGGGCGUAAAGCGCGCGUAGGCGGUUAUUCAAGUCAGAGGUGAAGGCCCGGGGCUCAACCCCGGAACUGCCUUUGAAACUAGAUAGCUAGAAUCUUGGAGAGGUCAGUGGAAUUCCGAGUGUAGAGGUGAGAUUCGUAGAUAUUCGGAAGAACACCAGUGGCGAAGGCGACUGACUGGACAAGUAUUGACGCUGAGGUGCGAAAGCGUGGGGAGCAAACAGGAUUAGAUACCCCUGUAGUCCCUGUCUCUUAUAC